rnacentral:rRNA from 1 species
GUGCCAGCAGCCGCGGUAAUACGUAGGUGGCAAGCGUUAUCCGGAAUUAUUGGGCGUAAAGCGCGCGCAGGCGGUUUCUUAAGUCUGAUGUGAAAGCCCACGGCUCAACCGUGGAGGGUCAUUGGAAACUGGGAGACUUGAGUGCAGAAGAGGAAAGUGGAAUUCCAUGUGUAGCGGUGAAAUGCGUAGAUAUAGGGAGGAACACCAGUGGCGAAGGCGACUUUCUGGUCUAUUACGGACACUGAGGCGCGAAAGCGUGGG